AAGUGGCACAUAGCUGGUGUGUAAUAAUUACCUAUUGGAUCCAGAGAGCUGUCCUGCGUGCACACUCCACUAAGCUCAUUUUCUCUGCUUCAGCCUCCUGCCUCUCCAGCCUUACCUCUUCCAUAGCAUGUCCUCCUUAGGACUCCUUGAAUGGGUGGAGACAUCCUUCAGAAAAUAGCUGUAACUUUCCAUAUGGCUGGCUGAUGGCCUUGCCAGUGGGACUUGCCCUGCAUGCUGUGGCCACUGGGGGUGUCCCUCCCCCCAGCAGGCUUUGUGAACUGUCCUCAGUCAACUCUGCUCUCAAUAUGAGGACUUUAUACUCCCACACCAAUCCUUGGUCAGUGGAGGUGCAUUUUGGAACCAAUAUCUUUUUUUUUUCAUACCCUGACCUUCCAUCUUACAAUCAAUACUGAGUAUUGGUUCCAAGGCAGAAGAGCAAGUCAUUUCAUGCAUUCUCCAGCCUCAGUUUCCUAAUGUGUCAAAUGUGAGAGAGGCAUGAUUCUUUUUUUUUUUUAAACUCUUAACUUCUGUCUUAGAAUCAAUAACUGUGUAUUGCUUCUAAGGCAGAAGAGCAGUUAAGGGCUAGGUAAUGGGGGUUAAGUGAUUUGCCCAGGGUCACACAGCUAGGAAGUGUCUGAGGGCACAUUUGAAUCCAAGACCUCCCCAUUUCCCAGCCUGGCUCUUGAUCCACUGAGCCACCUUGAUACCCAACUAUAACUAAUCUCUUCCUUCCUUCCUUCCUUCCUUCCUUCCUUCCUUCCUUCCUUCCUUCCUUCCUUCCUUCCUUCCUUCCUUCCUUCCUUCCUUCCUUCCUUCCUUCCUUCCUUCCUUCCUUCCUUUCUCUCUCUUUCUUUCUUUCUUUCUCUCUUUCUUUCUUUCUCUCUUUCUUUCUUUCUCUCUUUCUUACUCUCUUUCUCUCUUUCUCUCUCUCUUCCUUCCUUCCUUCCUUCCUUCCUUCCUUCCUUCCUUCCUUCCUUCCUUCCUUCCUUCCUUCCUUCCUUCCUUCCUUCCUUCCUUCCUUCCUUCCUUCCUUUCUUUCUUUUCCUUACCUUCUGUUUUAGAGUUAAUACUGUGUAUCAGUUUCAAGGCAGAAGAGUGGUAAGGCUAGGCAAUAGGAGUCAAGUGACUUGCUCAGGGUCACAUAGCUAGGAAGUAUUUUCUGAGACCAAAUUUGAACAUAGGGCCUUCCAUUUCUAAACCUGGCUCUCAAUCCACUGAGCCACCCAGCUGCCACCAAGGAUGUACUUUCUAAUGGGGAGAAACAAUCUAUUAAAACUCACAAAUGUACUAGAUAUGUAUGGUAUAAAUCAAAGGUAAUCUGAAAGGAGAUGGCACAAGUGACUAGGAGAGGGGCCAAGAUAGAUUUUUGUGUAGCAUCUGGAGCUUGAGGUGAAUCUUGAAGAAAGUAAGGGAAACAAAAGAGGUAGAGGGGGAGCAGUGUUUCAGGAUAAUCAGAUAGAAGACAGACUAUUGCAGAAAUACAGGUGUGAGGUGAUGACAGUCUGGGCUAGGGUGGAGGCACUGAGACUUCAGAAGGG
rnacentral:lncRNA from 1 species